rnacentral:rRNA from 1 species
AACGAACGCUGGCGGCAGGCCUAACACAUGCAAGUCGAGCGAGAUCUUCGGAUCUAGCGGCGGACGGGUGAGUAACGCGUGGGAACGUACCCUCUUCUGCGGGAUAGCCACUGGAAACGGUGAGUAAUACCGCAUACGCCCUUCGGGGGAAAGAUUUAUCGGAGGAGGAUCGGCCCGCGUUGGAUUAGGUAGUUGGUGGGGUAAUGGCCUACCAAGCCUACGAUCCAUAGCUGGUUUUAGAGGAUGAUCAGCCACACUGGGACUGAGACACGGCCCAGACUCCUACGGGAGGCAGCAGUGGGGAAUCUUAGACGAUGGGCGCAAGCCUGAUCUAGCCAUGCCGCGUGAGUGACGAAGGCCUUAGGGUCGUAAAGCUCUUUCGCCUGUGAUGAUAAUGACAGUAGCAGGUAAAGAAACCCCGGCUAACUCCGUGCCAGCAGCCGCGGUAAUACGGAGGGGGUUAGCGUUGUUCGGAAUUACUGGGCGUAAAGCGCACGUAGGCGGAUUGGAAAGUAUGGGGUGAAAUCCCAGGGCUCAACCCUGGAACGGCCUCAUAAACUUCCGGUCUGGAGUUCGA